rnacentral:misc_RNA from 1 species
GCCGGGUUCAGCUGCAAGCUCAACUCAGGGAGUUGGAUUAACCUAAGAAAACUGACUUGGCGUCUCUUGUUGAAAGCCAUACGGUAUCCCUCCCCUCUGCUCAUAUAUUAUCAUUUCUGUUAAAGAUUCUAAGAACUACUAUCUUUGCAUAUAUAUAUUAUUCUUUCAGUUAAGAAAUGUCCUGUAAUUCAUAUGAAUUAGAAAUAUUAUCUUUUGCUUUUCAAAUAUUGUUGUUGAUAGAAUCCAAAAUUAGCCAUUUUCAAGAAUUAUUCCAGCCCAACUACUAUGCUUGUGUUUCAUGCCAGAGUCCUUCUAGAUGGCUGGUGAGUUUGGCUUCAGUUAAUGGUGCUAGGCCUUUUUCUGUUUGGCUUAAACAUAAGCAAAGCUCAAUCUUACUGAUAUAAUUUAAUGUGAAAUGAGAAUUUGUUAAUCGAUUAGCUGAAGUAAUGAGUGCAAUUUCCUGCAAGGCAAAAAUUUCUUGUUGUACUUCUAAAUCUGCUUGUAGUUGAAGGCUUGAAGAAACCAAAAUGUUCCUUCUUUGGUGUUAUCUGACGCUUUUUUGUUGAACGGUAUUUUUACACCUUUUUUGAACUUGCUGCACAGAUAUGUUUGAUGGGUACCUCUAAUUUCUGUAGUUUUUGGUCUUUGCAUGCAUUAACAACGCCCGCGAUUUCUUUAUCUGUGCAAAUCAUCAUUCUCUAUUUUUUUUUUUUUCAAUGGAAGUUGUUUUUCUUGCUUGUACAGUAUUGCUCUAUAGGUGUUUGUGUUUUUGCUUGAAUGAGAUUCAUUUUAAUUUAUAAACAAUUUUAGUAUAAUUCCAAAUUCGUGGACACAUUGCCAUCCAAAUGGAAAUUCGUGAGUCCAAAUCCUAAACAGGAGCCUUUGUUUCUUUGCAUUUUAUCCAACCUAAUUUUUGGCUUCUCUUAAUUAUCAGAUAUCAAUAGCAUCAAGAAUGUUUGUUUGUACAAGACUAUACGGAGGGGUUGAUACCCUUUGUUUAAAGAAUAGGAAAAGGAGAAGAGGAAGGGUUGGUAGUUGUAUUUUUCUUUUCUUUUCUUCAGCAAAUUUUUC